CCCUGUGGCUCAGUUGGUAGAGCAUGGUGUGUGCAACACCAGAGUUGUGGGUUCAAUUCCCAUAGGGG
rnacentral:tRNA from 1 species